UACGGGGGGGGCAAGCGUUGUUCGGAAUUACUGGGCGUAAAGGGCGCGUAGGCGGCCCGCUAAGUCGAACGUGAAAUCCCCGAGCUCAACUCGGGAACUGCGUCCGAUACUGGCGGGCUUGAAUCCGGGAGAGGGAUGCGGAAUUCCAGGUGUAGCGGUGAAAUGCGUAGAUAUCUGGAGGAACACCGGUGGCGAAGGCGGCAUCCUGGACCGGCAUUGACGCUGAGGCGCGAAAGCUAGGGGAGCAAACGGG
rnacentral:rRNA from 1 species